GUGAACACCGUCAAUGAGAAGAUGGCCGCUGUGUUCGGUGGAAGUGUCGCCAUUGUUUAGUGUUUUAAUUUGUUGUUAAUAACCGAGUGUGUGUUGAGGAUCGUUUAUUUAUUUUGGGAACUUAAACCGACGGAGAAGAUGCCGAGUGCACCGUUCAGUUCCUCACGUAAUUACGUUAGACGUUCCAGAAGGAGGACUGCCAACAGGAUUCCUCUGCCAUCAAGAACAUCAUCGGUUGAACCAUGUGAUCUUCUUUGUCCAGCGUCGAACCCAAUGCCAUUGAGCGGUGGAGGAGCCGGUGGAGCUCGUGGAUCGUCACCAAGUGUUUCAGGCGUAGCAGCCCCCUCACCCUCGCCAAACCAUUCACACUCAUCGCCGUAUGACCUGAGACGGAAAAGCCCACCACAUCCGGAUCCAGCACCAGGUUCCAGUUCGGCAUUACCUCCUCAGGGUGGGAGUAGCAUCGUUGCUGCACUUGGUUCCUUUUCUCUGCCAGCGAGAAAACGACCCAGACGAACAUGCUCACUGUCAACCGAUGGUACCAACACGAACACAGCGGCACACUAUCUCUUGUAUGAACUCCCAGACGAGGUGUUGCUGACGAUAUUCAAUUUCUUCCUGGAAAUAGACCUAUGCCGUAUGUCACAAGUUUGCAAACGUUUUCAAGCAAUCGCCAACGAUACUGAACUUUGGAAAUCACUCUAUCAGCAAGUAUAUCAAUAUGACUUGCCGCUAUUUAAUCCAGCACCCUGUAAAUUUGAAUUUGUAUCGCCGGAUGACUCUGAUUAUCCAAAUCCCUGGAAGGAAAGUUUUCGACAGCUGUAUCGAGGAGUUCACGUAAGACCUGGUUUUCAAGAUCUUAAAUUUAAGGGUAGAAAUUUGCCAUACUUUAACACUGUACAAGGAGCUCUUGAUUACGUUGAUGAGUACAGAAGUAAUAAUGGAAAUAACACGGCAAGUGGGAGCACCAGUAGCACUUCCAGUCAAAACAGUAAUGCCUCAUCUUCAACGUCAAAUAGUCAAAAUAAUGGUUGCGCUAACAUCGCUACACUAUUUCCAGAGGAUGCGCCUCAACAUAUUAUUUUCUUACACGCUGGUACAUAUCGUGGCGAGUUUCUCGUUAUUGACAGUGACGUUGCGCUUAUUGGAGCUGCUCCUGGCAAUGUUGCUGAGUCGGUAAUUCUCGAACGUGAAAGUGAAUCCACGAUGAUGUUUGUUGAGGGAGCUAAACGUGCAUACGCUGGACAUCUUACUUUAAAAUUCACACCGGAUGUAACCAGUACAGUGCCCCAUCACAAACAUUAUUGUCUUGAAAUAGGAGAAAAUUGCAGUCCUACGAUAGAUCACUGUAUAAUUCGAAGUUCCAGUGCCGUGGGUGCAGCUGUCUGUGUAUCCGGUGGCGGUGCAAAUCCAAUAGUUAAGAAUUGCGACAUUUCAGACUGUGAAAAUGUCGGGCUUUAUGUUACUGACCACGCACAAGGUACCUACGAGGAUAAUGAAAUAUCUCGGAAUGCUCUUGCCGGUAUUUGGGUAAAAAAUUACGCAAAUCCAAUAAUGCGACGGAAUCACAUACAUCACGGUCGUGAUGUUGGUAUAUUCACAUUCGAUAAUGGACUUGGUUACUUUGAGGGUAAUGACAUUCACAACAAUCGUAUUGCCGGUUUUGAAGUUAAGGCAGGCGCAAAUCCCACAGUUACCCAAUGUGAAAUUCAUCAUGGUCAAACUGGUGGUAUUUAUGUUCACGAGAAUGGUCUUGGCCAAUUUAUUGACAACAAAAUUCAUUCGAAUAAUUUUGCUGGUGUUUGGAUAACUUCUAAUUCGAAUCCAACUAUACGUCGUAAUGAAAUUUACAACGGUCAUCAAGGUGGUGUUUACAUAUUUGGUGAGGGUAGAGGUUUGAUUGAGCAUAACAAUAUUUACGGGAAUGCUCUUGCUGGUAUUCAAAUACGAACCAAUUCAGAUCCAAUUGUUAGACACAAUAAAAUUCAUCACGGUCAACACGGUGGUAUUUAUGUUCAUGAAAAAGGGCAAGGGCUUAUAGAAGAAAAUGAAGUUUAUGCAAAUACUUUGGCUGGUGUUUGGAUCACUACUGGAUCGACGCCGAUAUUAAGGAGAAAUCGAAUUCACAGCGGCAAACAAGUUGGUGUUUAUUUUUAUGAUAAUGGACAUGGGAAACUUGAAGACAAUGAUAUCUUUAAUCACCUGUACUCAGGAGUACAAAUAAGGACUGGAAGUAAUCCCGUUAUUCGAGGAAACAAGAUAUGGGGUGGCCAAAAUGGCGGUGUCCUCGUAUACAACAGUGGUCUGGGGUUACUCGAGCAGAACGAAAUAUUCGAUAACGCUAUGGCUGGCGUUUGGAUAAAGACAGACAGUAAUCCAACCCUCAAGAGGAACAAAAUAUUCGAUGGGCGGGAUGGUGGGAUAUGUAUAUUCAACGGCGGUAAAGGAAUUCUGGAGGAAAACGAUAUUUUCCGUAAUGCUCAAGCCGGAGUACUUAUAUCAACGCAAUCGUACCCAGUAUUGAGGAGAAACCGUAUAUUCGAUGGACUUGCUGCCGGUGUAGAAAUAACUAAUAAUGCAACUGCAACUUUAGAGUUUAAUCAAAUUUUUAAUAAUCGAUUUGGAGGAUUAUGUUUAGCAAGUGGAGUUCAGCCAACUUCAAGAGGUAAUAAAAUAUUCAGUAAUCAAGACGCUGUAGAAAAGGCCGUUGAAAACGGUCAAUGCUUGUAUAAAAUAUCAUCAUACACGUCGUUUCCGAUGCACGACUUCUAUCGCUGUCAAACGUGCAACACAACUGAUAGAAAUGCUAUUUGUGUCAACUGCAUAAAAACUUGUCAUGCUGGCCACGAUGUUGAGUUUAUAAGACACGAUAGAUUCUUUUGUGACUGUGGUGCAGGAACGUUAAGUAAUCAAUGCCAGCUUCAGGGUGAGCCUACGCAAGAUACUGACACGUUGUACGAUAGUGCUGCACCUAUGGAGUCGCAUACACUUAUGGUCAACUAGGAAUUAACUUAAUAAAUAAUAUUAAAAAUAAUAAUUACGGUAAUAAAUAAUUACAAGUAAAAGUAUAACAGGAAAAAAAAAAAAAAAAAAAAGAAUAAAAACAAAAAAAAAGGAAACAAAAGGAUAAACAAUCAAAUCAUCACGGAAUUGUGCGUCUUGAACGUGAUUGCAAACAACAUCACGACAGAAUAUUUUACCGUGACACUUGAGCGAUUUUUAAUCUGGUUAAUACAAGCAACCAACCAGACAAAAAAUAACAAAAGCUCGGCCACAAAAAAUAUAUAAAGAAUAAAAGGUAUAUACGUCUGAGGAAAAUAAAGCACAGUGACAUCGAAAAGUAAAGCAGGGUAACGCGAUCAUCGUAAGUCACAUCAAGAGUCUCGUACUCUGGCACUCUACUGUAUGCUAUAUAGAUAGAUAGAUCUAUUGUGUAUCAGCUAACUGGUGAAACUUGCAACUGCAACACUUGAGAGUUCUUUCUGGGUUCCGGCUAUCGAUCUAUCGUGGGUCACGCUAAUUUAUCGAUACCACCCUACGCUCUCGACUUUGUUCGUGGUAAUCGGCACAUUUAUCUCUCGUUACCGUGUACUGUGCACUCUGUACACUCUGUAGACUCUGUAGUGUACCUGUGCCUGACCCCAUGUACAUUGACUCCUUUCUCAACUCAUCUACAUGCUGAUCGAGCAUGCACAAUACGUAACGAGUGUAACUAAACGUGCCCUACCACAUAUCACACAUAUAUAACAUCCAACAUUCUCGGCAUUAUUCUACCAUUCACAGCGACAUUUUCCCAUUUUUAAUUUAGUUAAAAUUAAAAUAAUAGAACGACGUUUAUAGAGCUCCGCACUCUAUUUCAAUACCGUCUAAAUAUAAAAGGAGCUUGAAGGAA
rnacentral:misc_RNA from 1 species